rnacentral:rRNA from 1 species
CCUACGGGUGGCAGCAGUGAGGAAUAUUGGUCAAUGGAGGAAACCCUGAACCAGCAACGCCGCGUGGAGGAUGAAGGUCUUCGGAUUGUAAACUCCUUUUGUUAGGGAAGAUAAUGACGGUAUGUAACGAAUAAGCACCGGCUAACUCCGAGCCAGCAGCCGCGGUAAUACGGCGGGUGCAAGCGUUAAUCGGAAUCACUGGGCGUAAAGGGCGCGUAGGCGGGUUAGCAAGACAGCUGGGAAAUCCUAGGGCUCAACCAUAGAACUGCAGUGGAAACUGGUGUUCUUGAGUGCGGGAGAGGUAGGCGGAAUGCGUGGUGUAGGGGUAAAAUGCGUAGAUAUCAAGAAGAACACCAAUUGCGAAGGC